rnacentral:lncRNA from 1 species
CACCUUCGACCUCUUAACGAAAACUUCGCAAUUACCAGAGAUCCGUCCGUCGGAUUUUCGAUCUGACGGGACCAUUGCGUUCAGCACGUCGGGGGCAUCAAAACUACAAUCUUAUUUCAUCAAAUUUGGUCACGGAUUCGCGACGGAACCCAUCCGCUCUCUAAUUAAUCCAUAUAUCGCACAUAUACCAAUGUGUAAACCCAUUAAACCAACUUUCGCAUUAGAAAUUGACUUCCCUACCACUAGUAGGGACCUGAAACAUUCUUCACCCUACUCCAGGUCACAAGCACGGAGCACGAGGAGCUUAAAUAUGCAAGAACAGUCAAGAACGGAAGUCCUCUUUUCGGUAAAAUCCCUUUUUCUCGGAAACCGUGCAUCAGAUCUGGAAUCCGUCAGUGCCAUUGGUUCCAGAAUAGCUGAACCAACCAAAACGAGCUAUUGGAUCGCUAUGAACGGAGUCCGAUACGCGCCGAAAGCCAACUCUACUCCGUGGCUUCUCCGAAAAAUCGGAGUUACUAUUCACUUUAAGUGAUUAGUUUUAAUCGCGUAACUUCUCCGUUCUAGCUCAUUUUCUCCUGAAACUUGACGAGUGCUUAUGUAAUUAAAUUACACACAUAAACAUCAUCAACAGAGAGUUUGUUUGCACUGUAAAAAUCUCAGUCCUUACAGAUCUCCUUAUACUUUUUGAUACUCUAAACUAAUUUCUAAAUAACGAGAUUUCUGUACCUGUGGGUAUAAGAAAAAUCGCUAUCUAGAAAUUCAAUCCACUAUCAUAUUUCAGUCAAAAUUCAGAGAAUUAUUACUUUAUUUGACUACAAUAAAUAGGCAAACUUUAAUUCAAUAUCAGUAAAUCCUUAUUUAUUCUUCAUUAUUUAUAGUAUGUUGUGGCUAUUCCUAAGCAUAAUGAAAAUACAAUAACCUUUAUUUGAUAUUGAAUUACUAUUAAAAUUAAAUUAGGAAUCUGUAUGAAUUUUUUGAGUUAACCUUAGUUUAAUAUCAUCUCAUAAAAAUUAUCGUAAGUAAUCAUAUAUCAUGACUAGGUUGCGGUAGCUACUCUUAGACAUAAUUGAUCACACAAAUCUUUAUAUGAUAUUGAAUGACUCAAAAUUUUAUAUUAUUCCAAGACGUAGCGAAAAUAAAAAAAAAACUAAAAUAUUUUUUUAACAAUCUCAUGUGACUCAAAAUUUAUAAACUAUAUGAAGUCUGUAUACGCUACUCUAAUUUUCAUAAUCACCUUAUGUGUGUUUAGAAUAAUAAUGCGAAAAAUAUAACAUAAAAAUUAAACUAAGCACACUCCUUUAUAGUCAUGAAUAAAUAAAUUAAUGAGUAGUACAAAAAUCAUAUAUAAUAAAUACCAAACGUUAUAUAUGAUUUUAAUAUAUAGACUUCUUCAAAAACGAGUCAUGUUACAAGAAAAUUAUGAACCAAAUCUCUCUCUCUCUCUCUCUCUCUCUAUAUAUAUAUAUAUAUAAAACUUGGCUAGAAUACUAUCAAUAGCACCAAGUUGUUGGUGCUAUUGAUUUUUUAGCCAUUGGAUUGAGAAAUAUGCGGUUAGGAUGAUGUGGGCUCCCUAGGGUUGAGUGGGUGGUUGGUUGAAUAGUAUAAUCUAACGGGUAAAAAUAAUCAAAGAGAUUAAUCUAGUAACACACAAAUGAAAGUGUUGCUGAAUAUAUAAAUUCACCAACAUUAUAUAAUAAAUGUUGCUAAAGGUUAUAAUUACCAGCAUAUAUUAUUAUAUGUCGCAAUAAAAAUUAAUAUUUAAAACUUAUAUACAAACAUAAUUAUAAAAUAAUUAUGAAAAUAACAAAAAUAUAAAAAAUGUUGGUAGUUAAU